rnacentral:rRNA from 1 species
AGUGAACGCUGGCGGUAGGCCUAACACAUGCAAGUCGAACGGCAGCACAGUAAGAGCUUGCUCUUACGGGUGGCGAGUGGCGGACGGGUGAGGAAUACAUCGGAAUCUACUUUUUCGUGGGGGAUAACGUAGGGAAACUUACGCUAAUACCGCAUACGACCUACGGGCGAAAGCAGGGGAUCUUCGGACCUUGCGCGAUUGAAUGAGCCGAUGUCGGAUUAGCUAGUUGGCGGGGUAAAGGCCCACCAAGGCGACGAACCGUAGCUGGUCUGAGAGGAUGAUCAGCCACACUGGAACUGAGACACGGUCCAGACUCCUACGGGAGGCAGCAGUGGGGAAUAUUGGACAAUGGGCGCAAGCCUGAUCCAGCCAUACCGCGUGGGUGAAGAAGGCCUUCGGGUUGUAAAGCCCUUUUGUUGGGAAAGAAAAGCAGCAGGUUAAUACCCCGCUGUUCUGACGGUACCCAAAGAAUAAGCACCGGCUAACUUCGUG